rnacentral:RNase_P_RNA from 1 species
CCAGUUGACCGGGUGGCCGCUGGCAGUGGGGUAACCUGCUGCGAGAGGAAAGUCCGGGCUCCAUCGAAACACGGUGACGGCUAACAGCCGCCGGGGGCGACCCCAGGGAAAGUGCCACAGAAAGCAAACCGCCGACCUUCGGGCCGGUAAGGGUGAAAGGGUGUGGUAAGAGCGCACCGGGCGCCUGGCAACAGGAGCCGCACGGUAAACCCCACCGGGAGCAAGACCAAAUAGGGAUGACGCGGGCUUCGGCCCAGCCUGUUUCGAGGCCAUGUCGUCCGGGUUGGUUGCACGAGUGCCCUGGUAACAGGGGCCACAGAUGAAUGGUCACCACGUCGCGCAAGCGGCCCUACAGAACCCGGCUUAUAGGUCAACUGGCUCU